rnacentral:rRNA from 1 species
UACGUAGGUGGCAAGCGUUAUCCGGAUUUACUGGGUGUAAAGGGCGUGUAGGCGGGAUGGUAAGUCAGAUGUGAAAACUAUGGGCUCAACCCAUAGCCUGCAUUUGAAACUAUCGUUCUUGAGUGUUGGAGAGGCAGGCGGAAUUCCGUGUGUAGCGGUGAAAUGCGUAGAUAUCAUGAAGAACUCCGAUCGCGAAGGCAAGUGUCCGGGGUGCAACUGACGCUGAGGCUCGAAAGUGCGGGUAUCAAACAGG